GAAAGCAACCCAUGGUGAAAAAGGCCAAGCAAGCUAGAACCUCCCGAAAAUAGAAGCACCUGCCAUUGUAGCAUUGCCAUUGAGAUUGAAUGGGUAGGAAAUAUCUAGGGAAGCAAAUUGAAUCUAUCAAGCAUUGGUGUGACUAGAUUGAAAGACAAGGCUAAAACCAGCAACGCAUAAAGAAAUGCCAACCUAGAAAACCCAAACCCACAAAAGCAGUGUUAAGACCCCUAAUUCCAAAACUUGAAGGGAGCAGAAAUUUGAGAGAAGGGUAGAGCCCUGUGGCCUCUCAUUCUCACAUAGCCGGAGGGGGCGAGACUCACUGGGCCUACCUUUGACCCUCGGGGUACCUCUCUCUCUGUACCAUAGCCAGUGAAACAACUUCCUUGCAAGAGCAGCAACACAAACACAAAAACAUAUGCAAGCUAACACAGAGCCAAACAAUUCAAAAGAAACCUUCAUUGUGAAGACCUGUAAACCACAAAAUAGCCUAUCUACAACCCAUGCCGGAGGGGAGGGUAUAACCCACAUCCGGCAAGGGCAGAGGGAGCCCCUGGCCAGCAGAACAAAAGGGAAAUACACAAAAACGAG
rnacentral:misc_RNA from 1 species